CGACAAUGUAAACAAUUUUUGCUUGGUUGCGGAUAGGACUUUUCAGAUUUUUAUAGUUUUUGAUGUUUUUGAAAUGAUUUUUUGCCAAAGAAGUGCUAGAAUCUUGUUGUAGGCUGAUUAACUAGAGUUCAGAAUCUGCUGCACUGGUUUUGAGGACACAUCGGCAACGGCGAAAACAAAACUGAGUCGAUCUCGCUGGCCGGAACGAGAAGCGCAAGAACGACGACCCUCCAAGCUGGAGACUUCAGGUGUCGUGAAGGCGGUUUGCUGACGAAAGUAGCAGUGGUAAGAAGGACAAGCACCGUUAGAACGGCGAGCGAGACAACAAUAAAAACCGGGAUCGGAACUAGGAUCGCGAUCGGUAGAGGGAAAACGACCGUCACCGGCACAAGUACAGUUCUUGGUCGGGUUAACAGUCGAAUUCAUCGUCCUCGAAGCAC